GUGUCAUAUCCAUAAUAUAUUUCAUGUUUCGAUGAUUAGAAAGUAUAUACCUGAUCCUUCUCAUAUCAUUAAGUAUAAGCUGAUAGAGAUCGAUAAAGAUUUAUCUUAUGUGGAAGAGGCCACUCAAUUGUUGAUAAGAAGGAAAAGAUCUAAGAAAUCGAGUUAUCCCUCUGGUUCAAGUAAUUUGGAAUCAUCAUUCUGGAGAUGAAACAACCUGACAGAUAGAGGAGGAAAUGAAAAAGGUUUAUCCCCAUCUUUUCAUCGAUAGAGGUAUGAUAAAUUUAGAGGACUAAAAUUUUCUUUUAAGGGGGGAUGUAAUAUCCCCCACUUUUAAAAAUAUAUUAAUAAGGAUUUAUAUGUAAAUUGGGGGACCUAUAUGUAAAUAUAGAAAUUACAAGGACUAAACUGCUAAGUUGCAAAAAGAAAAAAAAAAAGAAAAGGAAAAACCGAAAAUUCGGUAUUAUCCCACCGCCUCCCACGCACUUUGUUUCUUUCCAGAAACAGAGAGAGCGGUGGGGCGUGAGGAGAAGAAAAGAGGGAAAAGAAGAGAGGAGGAAGAAGAGAGGAAGAAGAGAGGAAGAAGAGGGAGAAGAGAAGAAGAUGAAGAAGAAGAAGAAGAGGAGGUGGCUGCAGCGAGGGCUGCAGCGAGAAGCUGUGGGGCGUGGGGAGAAGAAGAGAGGAAGAAGAGGGAGAAGAGAAGAAGAAGAAGAAGAAGCAGAAGAAGAAGAAGAAGAAGAAGAAGAAGAAGAAGAGAGGAUGAUAGCUGCGGCAAGGCUGCAGCGAGGAGGUGUGUGGGGUUGGGGAGGAAAGGGGAAGAGGAGAAGAAAAGAAGGAGAAGAAGAGGGAAAAGAGAGGGAAGAGGGAGAGGAGCGAGAGGUGGCAGCAGCUAGGGCUGCAGCACCUCUGUUUCCUGCAGGUGGAAACAGAGGAGAGGUGGGGCGUUCGAAGAGGAGAAGAAGAAGAAGAAGGAAGAGAAGAGGAAGAGGAAGCAGGAGAAGAGGUUGUGAUACCUCUGUUUCCUGCAGAGGAAACAGAGGAGAGGGUGUGUGUGACGUCGGGGAGAAGAAGGGGAGGAAGGAGAAGAAGAGAAGAAGAAGAAAGGAAGGAGAGGAAGAAGAGAAGGGAAAGGAGGAGCUGCGGCUGCGGCCGUGGCAGCUGCAGCUGGAAGAGAAGGAGAGGAAGAGAUGGUGAGGAAGAAGAGAAGAAGUAGAAGCGGGUGAAGAGGCGGCACCUCUGUUUCCUGCAGGAGGAAACAGAGGAAAGGAGGUGCUGUUCGUCGGGGAGAAGAAGGGGGCUGCAGCUGCGGCGAUGGCAGCUGCAGCUGGAAGAGAAGAAGAAGAGGAAGAUGAGCAGGGGAGGAGGGAGAGGUUGCGGCCGUGGCUGCGGCCGCGACUGCAGCAGUUGCAGCGGGGAGAGAAGAAGAAGAAAGGAAGGAGAAGGAAGAGGAGAAGGGAAAGAAGUAGCUGCGGCUGCGGUUGUGGCAGAUGCAGCUGUGGCAGGGAAAGAGGAAGAGAAAAAGGAAAGGAAGAAGAAGAGAAAGGGAAGGAGAGGAAGAAGAGAGGAAGAGGAGAAGGGGCUGCGGCUGCGGCGAUGGCAGCUGCAGCUAUGGCUGGGAAAGAAGAGAAGGAAAGGAAGAAGAAGAGAAAGGGAAGGAGAGGAAGAAUAGAGGAAGAGGAGAAGGGGUGGCAGCUGCGGCAGUGGCAGUUGCAGCUGGAAGAGGAGGAGGAAAUAGAGCAGGGGAGGAAGAAGAGGCUGCGAGUGUGGUGGCUGCGGCCGUGGCUGCGGCUGCGACGUUGGCUACGGUAGCUGCGGCAGCGGUGGUGGCUGCAGUAGCUGCAGUAGCUGCUUUUGGGAAAGAGAAAGAGUAGGAAUGAGAGAAGGGAAGAAGGAAAUAGUGCAGUGGAUGGGGGCUGCGGUUGUGACCGCAGUUGCGAUUGUGGCAGCGGCAGCGGCGGCGGCUAUGGCAGCUGCGUUUGGGAAAGAAAAAGAAGGAAUGAGAGUAAGAGAGAGCAGGUGACUGUGCCUCGAUGUUCGACACGUGAUGUAGUUACGAAGAAAGGUCAGCUUGUUACUCUUCGAGAUGUUUGAUUUGGGCUGAGGCAGUGGAUAGCUAUUCAGAAUGAUGGGCAAGUCUGGUUGGUUAUUACGAUAUUGUUGUAUAAGUAUGUUUUGUAUGUAAUGAAAUGUUGUCGAUGAACCGAAAUGGAUAUACUUUGUCAAAGUGUUAGGAGAUCUCUCUUAUUUGGAAUUUCUGAAUGUUAAGCCUAAUUUAUAAUGAUAUGAACUUGUGGUGAAUAGUUGGAGUUCUGAUUGUAUAAAUUAUUUAGCUUGUGGAUUUAUAAAUAUUGUUCAUGUUUGUCAAGUUGGCUUGGGUUGCCAUAAAUGUGAAUUAUUGAGUGAUGUGAUAUAUGAUUAUAAACUGCACAGGUUUUAUGGAUGUGAAUAUGAAUAGAAUGUUUUUCAGUGUCCUCAAACGUUAGUUUGGAUCCUGGAUUGGUCUGUGAUGAAAAAUUUUAAAAAUCAUGGAUAUUUUGAGGGGCGUGACAGAGGUGGUAUCAGAGCAUUGUUUGAGGAUUAAUGAAAUAUUUGAUAUGUUGACGUGCAAAAUAUAUUGAGGUCUAAUGAACUAUAGUGAUUGGUGGAAAUUUUCUUUGCUGCAUUUUAGGAAUCUGGGAUGAUGAGGACAUUUGGUCCUCCUAUAUCAUUUGUUUCUGAUUAAUUAAGGGGAAUGAAAGGAUUGAUUGGGGAUAUUGAAUCAGAGUGGCGCAGCAGAAGCAUGAUGAACCUAAUUUCAUUGGUGGUAGAAAAAUGGAUGAUGCAAAUGGAGAAGAUAUUUGAUAUACAAAAUUGUUCUGAUACUCGAAAGAUUUCUUUUGCCACGUUAUAUUGGAAGUAAAGACUUAUUAUUGACGGCAACAAUGAAAAGAAUUUCUGAAGAUCAAUGGCAAGAAUGACAAGAACAAGUUUACCAAUAAAAAUAUGAUUGGAAAUGAAUCAGUAAGUAACAACAAGAGAGUCAAGACAUUUGGAUUUGAAAUGGGAAGUCACCACAAAAGACUCAAUCAGGUGUGAAUUGCAAGUUAAAUUAUGAAACAAGUUUAUGUUUGUGCGUGACUAGAGCCUAUUUUGCUUAUGGAAAGUUUGAUCAUAAAAUAAAAGUUUGCCCUUUGAACAAGAAGAAAGAGUCACUGCCUCCUAAAUCAUCAGCCCAUGUCAGAGUGUAUGCUAUCACUGAAUAUGAUUCUAAGACUUCUGAAUUAGUGGUCGAAGGUAUUAUGUAUGUUUAUGAAAGAAUGCAAAUAUUUGUUUGAACAUGGGUUCUAUCUACGAUUUGAUUCGUAACAUAUUGCCUAUCACUUGGGUAUUCAACCUAGACCACUGUAUUAUGUGAUAUAUGUAAGUACAAUCAUUGGAGAUUCUUUGAUAAUGAACUUGAAUCUGGUCCUCUUGUCUGAUUUUUGUUGGAGAACUUGAACUUUUGCUGAUAUAGUUCUCCUAGAGAUUUGGAGUUAUGAUAUUAUACUUGGUAUGCAUUGGCUAUCUUCUUAUCAUACCAGUAUGGAUUGGUAUAUAACAAAUGAUCACUUUUUGCAUAUUUAAUCGGCCGAUCUUUUAUUUUGAGAGUAUUGGACAUUAUUUAUCUCCUUGCCUAAUGUAUCCCAGGAUGACUUGCCUGGAUUACCUCCAAAUGUGAUUUUGCUUUUGAUUUGGUCCUUGGGACAAUCCCUAUAUCUAAGCCUCUCUGCAGAAUGAUAUCAUUUGAGUAAGUGGAAUUAGAAAAACAACUACAAGGAUUAUUAAAUGAGGAUUUUAUUUGGCUUAAUAUUUUAUCAUGGGGUGCUCUGGUGUUAGUUAAAAAGAUGGUUGAACAUGGAGGCUUUGUAUUGAUUAUGGAUAGUUGAAUCAGGUGAUCAUCAAAAACGAGUAUUUUCUGAAGUAACGAUUUGCUUGAUUAAUUACAAGUGCGCAAGUAUUUUUGAAAGAUUGAUUGAAGGUCGGGUUUACCAUCUAUUGAGAAUCAAGAAGGAGAAUAUUUCGGUCACUCUUGGAAAAUUGUGUAAUUGUAUUGAAUUGAUGAAAUUAUUUAAGAGUAGGAGGAGGAAAUAAAGAAAUCAUAAUCCUCAUCUUUUCAUCGAUUGAGCUAUGACCAAUUUAGAGGACUAAAUUUUAUUUUAAGGGGGGGGAGAGUGUAAUAUCCCCACUUUUAAAAAUGUAUUAAUAAGGAUUUAUAUGUAAAUUGGGGGACCUAUAUGUAAAUAUAGAAAUUACAAGGACUAAACUGCUAAGUUGCAAAAAGAAAAAAAAAAGAAAAGGAAAAACCGAAAAUUCGGUAUUAUCCCACCGCCUCCCACGCACUCUGUUUGUUUCCAGAAACAGAGAGAGCGGUGGGGCGUGAGGAGAAGAAGAAGAGGGAAAAGAAGAGAGGAGGAAGAAGAGAGGAAGAAGAGGGAGAAGAGAAGAAGAGGAGGUGGCUGCAGCGAGGGCUGCAGCGAGAAGCUGUGGGACGUGGGGAGAAGAAGAGAGGAAGAAGAGGGAGAAGAGAAGAAGAAGAAGAAGAAGCAGAAGAAGAAGAAGAAGAAGAAGAAGAAGAAGAAGAAGAAGAAGAAGAAGAAGAAGAGAGGAUGAUAGCUGCGGCAAGGCUGCAGCGAGGAGGUGUGUGGGGUUGGGGAGGAAAGGGGAAGAGGAGAAGAAAAGAAGGAGAAGAAGAGGGAAAAGAGAGGGAAGAGGGAGAGGAGCGAGAGGUGGCAGCAGCUAGGGCUGCAGCACCUCUGUUUCCUGCAGGUGGAAACAGAGGAGAGGUGGGGCGUUCGAAGAGGAGAAGAAGAAGAAGAAGGAAGAGAAGAGGAAGAGGAAGAGGAAGCAGGAGAAGAGGUUGUGAUACCUCUGUUUCCUACAGAGGAAACAGAGGAGAGGGUGUGUGUGAUGUCGGGGAGAAGAAGGGGAGGAAGGAGAAGAAGAGAAGAAGAAGAAAGGAAGGAGAGGAAGAAGAGAAGGGAAAGGAGGAGCUGCGGCUGCGGCCGUGGCAGCUGCAGCUGGAAGAGAAGGAGAGGAAGAGAUGGUGAGGAAGAAGAGAAGAAGUAGAAGCGGGUGAAGAGGCGGCACCUCUAUUUCCUGCAGGAGGAAACAGAGGAAAGGAGGUGCUGUUCGUCGGGGAGAAGAAGGGGGCUGCAGCUGCGGCGAUGGCAGCUGCAGUUGGAAGAGAAGAAGAAGAGGAAGAUGAGCAGGGGAGGAGGGAGAGGUUGCGGCCGUGGCUGCGGCCGCGACUGCAGCAGUUGCAGCGGGGAGAGAAGAAGAAGAAAGGAAGGAGAAGGAAGAGGAGAAGGGAAAGAAGUAGCUGCGGCUGCGGUUGUGGCAGCUGCAGCUGUGGCAGGGAAAGAGGAAGAGAAAAAGGAAAGGAAGAAGAAGAGAAAGGGAAGGAGAGGAAGAAGAGAGGAAGAGGAGAAGGGGCUGCGGCUGCGGCGAUGGCAGCUGCAGCUGUGGCUGGGAAAGAAGAGAAGGAAAGGAAGAAGAAGAGAAAGGGAAGGAGAGGAAGAAGAGAGGAAGAGGAGAAGGGGUGGCAGCUGCGGCAGUGGCAGCUGCAGCUGGAAGAGGAGGAGGAAAUAGAGCAGGGGAGGAAGAAGAGGCUGCGAGUGUGGUGGCUACGGCCGUGGCUGCGACUCCGGCUGCGGCUGCGACGUUGGUUGCGGUAGCUGCGGCAGCGGUGGUGGCUGCAGUAGUUGUAGUAGCUGCUUUUGGGAAAGAGAAAGAGUAGGAACGAGAGAAGGGAAGAAGGAAAUAGUGCAGUGGAUGGGGGCUGCGGUUGUGACCGCAGUUGCGAUUGUGGCAGCGGCAGCGGCGGCGGCUGUGGCAGCUGCGUUUGGGAAAGAAAAAGAAGGAAUGAGAGUAAGAGAGAGCAGGUGACUGUGCCUCGAUGUUCGACACGUGAUGUAGUUACGAAGAAAGGUCAGCUUGUUACUCUUCGAGAUGUUUGAUUUGGGCUGAGGCAGUGGAUAGCUAUUCAGAAUGAUGGGCAAGUCUGGUUGGUUAUUACGAUAUUGUUGUAUAAGUAUGUUUUGUAUGUAAUGAAAUGUUGUCGAUGAACCGAAAUGGAUAUACCGUGUCAAAGUGUUAGGAGAUCUCUCUUAUUUGGAAUUUCUGAAUGUUAAGCCUAAUUUAUAAUGAUAUGAACUUGUGGUGAAUAGUUGGAGUUCUGAUUGUAUAAAUUAUUUAGCUUGUGGAUUUAUAAAUAUUGUUCAUGUUUGUCAA